rnacentral:rRNA from 1 species
GACGAACGCUGGCGGCGUGCCUAAUACAUGCAAGUUGAGCGAUGAAGAUUGGUGCUUGCACCAAUUUGAAGAGCAGCGAACGGGUGAGUAACGCGUGGGGAAUCUGCCUUUGAGCGGGGGACAACAUUUGGAAACGAAUGCUAAUACCGCAUAACAACUUUAAACAUAAGUUUUAAGUUUGAAAGAUGCAAUUGCAUCACUCAAAGAUGAUCCCGCGUUGUAUUAGCUAGUUGGUGAGGUAAAGGCUCACCAAGGCGAUGAUACAUAGCCGACCUGAGAGGGUGAUCGGCCACAUUGGGACUGAGACACGGCCCAAACUCCUACGGGAGGCAGCAGUAGGGAAUCUUCGGCAAUGGACGAAAGUCUGACCGAGCAACGCCGCGUGAGUGAAGAAGGUUUUCGGAUCGUAAAACUCUGUUGGUAGAGAAGAGCGUUGGUGAGAGUGGAAAGCUCAUCAAGUGACGGUAACUACCCAGAAAGGGACGGCUAACUACGUG